AGGGGGUACCAACAGAGAGAACUCGCGAGAGCAUGAGAGAGCAAUCGAAGCCAGUAGCAGCAGUAAGCUGCUAGCACAGGUUCAGGUUUUAGUAGCAGCAGCAGCAAAAGCAGUCAGCAGCCAGAAGAGAAGGAAAAAACCUUACCACUAAUCGUCUCUCACACGAAAAUUUUCGUUUUGGCCCAUGUACAGAUACAAAAAUGGUGAAAACAGUGUUGCUGCCGCCGAAUAUUAGUAUAUUUGAGAUAUCAAAUCAUGACCGAGGCAUAUGAAGAUGAUUAUUUAGUUAGAGUUCGUGCACAAGUAAUGGCCAGAGAUGAAAGUACCGAAGGUUGGUUACCACUGCAAGGCGGUGGACUCGCGAACGUCUCCAUACGCAAACGCGUCCGGCUGCCACCGGCCACCGGUGGCGGUCACGAAUACAUCAUCUACGGACAAAGAAUUUCUGACCAAACGGUUAUCCUAAGUUGUGUUAUCAAUCGAGAUCUGCAGUACUUCAAAGUCAUGCCCACGUUUCAUCACUGGCGUGCCGGCAAGCAGCGGAAUGGGCUCACCUUCCAGACUGCGGCCGAUGCGAGAGCUUUCGACAAGGGAAUCAUCCGUGCCUACGAUGACCUCAUUGAUGGCAUGGAUGAUUACACGACGCACAACAAAUACAACGAUGUGGAUAAAGUUGGCGAGGACGACGUGUUCAUGACAUUGGAUCUACCGGUGGAACCUUCUGAGUCGCGAUCAAAUUCUGAGGGCAGCGGAAGUCAUCAAAGCGUCGAUAAACAAUCACAGCAGCAGCAAUCCAGUAUUACAUACAUAUCGGGCGAAAAACCGUCACCUCUGCUGAAGCCUGGUGAUGAUAAAAUUAAUGUCACUCCAAUAGUACCUGGUGACAACUACUCGUACGUUCAGAUAACUGAUCCGUGCGACAUCAAGUUGAAGUAUAACUUUUAUAACUUGAAGGUGCACGAGUACAACUAUCCGGUCGUCGACGAACCCGUGACAUCGAUCAUCCACCAUCCCGGCCGGCGGGACUCGACGUCCAGCCUGAAGAAGCGGAACGCGCUCGACGCGCCGGCGAUGAAGGACGCGACACUCAUCAAGACACGGUUGCGCUGCAGAUACUGUCAGGAGUUCUACAAUGACGAGUGGAACCACAAGGGUUCGUGUGAUUACGCGCCCGACUGCUUCAAGACGGCCAUCGAGAACGUGUCCGGGAUGCUGUGCGCGCGCUGCAUGCUGUACCACUGCAUGAAGGACUCGGAGGGCGACACCGCGUCCCAUCCCUGCUCCUGCACGGCCGAGUCCGGCUGCACGAAACGUUGGAUCGGUCUGGCUUUGCUGUCCCUGCUGGUGCCAUGUCUCUGGUGCUAUCCACCACUUCGCGCCUGCCACUGGAUCGGGGUCUCGUGUCGGCUUUGCGGUGGGAAACACAAACCACAAAUUUGACAUCCGAUCAAGAUCAUCAACCUAACAAGUAUUAAUCGGCUCGACUGGUAGUUGAUAGCUAUUGAGCAGCUCUCCAAGUCCCUUCUGAAUAGCAACUAGUAACACGAGGUACUGAAAAAAACAAAAAACAAAACGGAAACAUAAUGCAGCUUACACAGACGUGCACCAUACGGAAAAGCGAAAGAGAGGAAACGGAAACAGCAACAACAACAAACAAAAGAUGAAGACAAAUCCAACUGUAACACAACAAAACCUACCAAAGUGAUAAAGAGCGAAAAAAAACGAAAAUGAUGUUUAACGUUGAAAAAAUAAUAAAGAAAAAAAAGUGGGAAAAACCAAAUUCAGUUGUGCUACAACUAAACAAUAAGUAAAACAAACAAAUAAAGGAAAAUACACAAAACACAAAAAUAUCGCUACGCGUAGAUGAAAUGAACCAGUAAAUCAGAGUAAACACAUUCGUUGAUGUCUAAAUCUAGCUGAAACCAAAAAGAAAACUUAAACAAGUCGGACAAGACUUUAGCGGAAAUAACAAAAAGUUGUUAGAGGUGGAAUGGUGUGCUGGUGGCAGCCACACACGCGCGGCAACAAUCGGAUAACAAUAACGGAACGAACGGAAGAGGAAACGUUAGCAGCCGAGCAACACACACACACAAUUUCAUAACACACAAUCUGUCGAAGUGAAAUUGAAGGGUUACGCUAACGGCAGCAGCAGCAACAACAACUAAAAAGUCAAAGAAAACCAUAAAAUUUAUGGUCGAACAGUGCGCGCGAAAAUAGACACACACACACAAACUAUGGAUGCUAUUAUGGGAAGUCUUGUUUUUCCUGUGUUCCGAGGUAUUAUUGCUUUAGUUCAAAAAUAAACAUUAAAGAUGGACGGGGAAGAGAGAAUAUUCAUUAAUCGGCGUAUGAAAGAAAUUACUAGCACGUAAGCAAAACCACGUUGUUGGAGAUUUUUGAAACUCAGAUCUUUUAUUUUGCAAUCUGUGGGGUGUGGCGCGCGCAGAACAAAAGCGAAAGAAAGAAAGCGAGCGUGUAGAAUCAAUCGUUCAACUAUAUGAGAAAAUAUAUAUGACUGUUUUGUGUCGUUUCGAGCGCGCAGUUGAAAGAUAUGCAUUAGUUUCACAUUUGAAAGUUUGUUUGUUGAAAAUAUUCGCUAGUUUUUUACUAUUUUUCGUUUUAUCGAUUGCAUUAUUACUAACGAAGAGAAAAAAAGUGGGUGAAGAAAGUAUAUAUUAGAGAUAUAUAAGCCAUAGUUAUGUAUUCAGAUACACAAUCAUGGAUAUAACAUAAAGAAAACUAUAUAAAACUGAGCAGGUUGAGGUGACGAAACCUACUUUAAGAUGUACUAGUGCAUAGAAAAUCAUAAAAUCACAUUAAACACAUGGCUUCACUCUCCUGCUUCCACUCCCGGAUGAAAGUCCCGCUCCAGCUGAGAUGGUUCCGGCUGCUGUCGGCAGUUGUUGGUUUGGCGUUCUCUUUCUAAUCGUCGGAACCGCCGGACUACCGCGUGCAUCCUGAGGAUUCUUUCGAACGAUCUUUUCAAAAUUUAAAACCCUUUUUGGCCGCGACAUAUUCGGUGCCGGACCGGCCAACCUUGUGCCAUAUGGAUGCGCCCGCUGGUCGGCGGUUCCACACACACAAACCAUGCUGCCCUCACGCGCAGGUGAAGAACCGUCUCGUUGGUGGAGGAAACGUGGACAGUGAAGUAGUCUCUCAUUCGUAAAACAAAAAUCAACAGAGAAAUAAGUAACCGUUAAACCGUUAUCUUUAUCAUUGUCACACACACACAUCUUUGGCGUUCCUGGUUUGUUUAUGUUCAUAGGGGCAUACCAUCUCGAACAAAGAAAAAAAAAACGUGCGGAAGUCGCAAAGGGCUCAGCGGUGACCGUCACAAAAAAUCAUGAUGAACAUAAAGAAAUCCAAGAAACGUAGAUUAAAUGAAAAAAUAUAUAUAUAUAUUCUACACAGACAACAAAAAAAUCUAUGUUUUAGCGUAACAGGAAGUCUUACAAGUUAUUAAAGACGAAUAAAAACAUUUACAUAAAGAAAAAAUACAUAACUGCGUAAAAAAUACAAAUACAUUGUGUGAACAUAAUUCAAUACGAGAGAGACACUUUAAGAAAAGAGGUAAACUUGCUACGAAAAUAAACUUAUGUGUACAUUACAAAAGAUGAAAAAAACGAAACAAAAAUCUGUCCUGUGUAAACCUGAUUUCAUUUUUAGCUGCUAAUAAUUUUAUUUCAUAGUUUUAUUGUGUUCAUCAGCAAAGAAAAGAAAAAAAGAAAACUUUUAUACUGGUGAGACUUUAUUGGUCACAUGAAUCAAAAAGACUCGAAACUAAGUUUGGACACACCCACGCCUCUCAUCCUGAGGUUACGAUUUCAUUGAGAGCGUGCCGUAUUUCAUCCGUGGUGAUGCGUUAUUAAUAUUUAUUGAAUGUUAUUUAGUCCCCGCACCCCUUCAUCCGAACGAUAUCAUUUUGCAUUAGAACUGAAUUAGAAGAAAAUAUAUAUUAUAAAGAUAUAAAACAAUCUCAAAAGAAAAAAGGAAAAACAGAUUAAAAUACCAUAGUCAUUAUAGCAAAAAACGAAAAAGAAACACAAUAUGGUAGGCGAAGUGUAGAGUAACUUUUUCUUGAGCGGAUAAACACAACAAUACGUUUUUUAAUUAAUACAAAAAAAAAGAAGUUUUAGGUUCAUCUUCUGGUCAUUGCGUUAAUUUAAACAAGCGUCAUUAGAAAAAAAAUGACAAUUUGUAUGCAUUUUUUAGCGUCUUUUUUUCGAUGAGGCACACAGGAUGGUUAUAAAGAAGAAAAAAGAAGCAGAAAAUUCAAACUCAAUGGAGCAUUCGACAAAGUGAGCAGAAAUCUAUGAUUUGUAUAUGUUUAAAUAUAUUUAAUAUAUGAUUAAUUACGGCGAGAUGAAUAAUGAUAAUACAGAUUAAAAUUAAAUGAGAGAUCAAAGAAAUGAUAUUUGUAUAAAGCAAAUAUUUAUAAUUCUAAUAAAUAAAAAAACAGAAAAUGAAAUUAAUAAUAAUUUA